UAGGGAAUCUUCGGCAAUGGACGGAAGUCUGACCGAGCAACGCCGCGUGAGUGAAGAAGGUUUUCGGAUCGUAAAGCUCUGUUGUUAGAGAAGAACGUUGGUAGGAGUGGAAAAUCUACCAAGUGACGGUAACUAACCAGAAAGGGACGGCUAACUACGUGCCAGCAGCCGCGGUAAUACGUAGGUCCCGAGCGUUGUCCGGAUUUAUUGGGCGUAAAGCGAGCGCAGGCGGUUCUUUAAGUCUGAAGUUAAAGGCAGUGGCUUAACCAUUGUACGCUUUGGAAACUGGAGGACUUGAGUGCAGAAGGGGGGAGUAGAAUUCCAUGUGUAGCGGUGAGCUGCGUAGAUAUAUGGAGGAACACCGGUGGCGAAAGCGGCUCUCUGGUCUGUAACUGACGCUGAGGCUCGAAAGCGUGGGGAGCAAACAGG
rnacentral:rRNA from 1 species